AGGAAUCACAAGUGGUCAUUCCCAAAAAAGGAAAUAAAAAAGAUAAGGAAAAAAAGGAUAUAUUUUUAUUGUGAUAAUAGUUGUAAUUGAUGUGACAAAUCAAUUUAACUACGGAUAAAAUGAGAAGAAAUAAUGCCGAAGGUGAAAAGGUUUGGUGUUAUAUUUUCAACAAUGAAAACCUUCAUGGAGUUAUUCGUAAAGAUAGGUGGUUGGUUCAAUAAAGUCCUUCGUUGUUGACAUAAAAGAGCAAUAGUUUGCACCACGGUUUGAUUUCCUCCCAUUUUAUCCAAUUCAAGUGUGCCGGCCAUCUGAUGUGAUUUGGUGUCUGAUUUGAUAAAAAAAAUGAAUGAUUCAAAAAUUACAUGGUUCUUUUGAAUUGUUUAAAAGAAUGCAACUUGAUAACUUUUGUUUAACAUAAAUGAAGGACUUAAACCUUCACUUUGAGUUGUUUUGAUGGUCGUACUACAACUGCAUUCACGGAAAAUCACAUAACAAAAUAUCAGAGAGGAAAAAAUGGAAUAAAAAACAACAACAUACAUAUAAUCCGUGUUUACCAAAAUACUAGUCUACAAUAAACUGGAUCCGGGAGUAAAAUCAGAAAUACCAAACAAUCUACGGAUGGAAACACAGAGUCGAAUCGGAGCCUAGGCAAUUGCUGCUCAUUCCCUGACCAACUCAUUUGAAUUUCCAUCAUUUCCUAAUGUACUCUCACCAUACUCAUUACUCAAUAUAUGAGAGUUUUAACAACUCAAUAAGAUUUGUCGUUCUAAUAAACCCGACCUGACGCAUACAUUAGCAAAUAUUGCAGAAAUUCAGAGUUCAUAAAGUUAAGUGAGUGGUCAAGAGGAAAGACGUCAUGAUAAAACGCCUGAAAAUUGCAGUCAUUUUAUAGAAUUAUACAAGGCACAGAGCAAUAACAAUGAGAGUAUUUGUAGUUCUAAAGUAUAACUUAAGAUUAUUAACACGAUCUGACGCAUACAUUAGCAAAAGUUGCAGAAAAUUCAGAGUUCAUAAAAUUCUAUUAAAGAUAAGCUUAUUAGCUCUUAUGAUUCCCGUAUGGUUAGUGAGUGGCCAGAGGAAGGAGUAUAUUAGGAAACCCAAAAACCAAAAAAAGAGAGAGAAGAUUAGGAGAGAGUAAGAGGAAGAAGAAGAAUUACCAGCAAAACGAAGUCAAACGCAGAAGCUAUAAAUUGUCUUCCCUGUAUAUCAACUGAGAGAAAUUAAAUUAAGUGGGAAAUUAGUCGGUGCUCUACAGAUCUAUAGAUACGAAUUAAUGGAAAUAGAGAUAUUGAAGACAUUCCCAAAAAUAGCAAGCACCCACACAGUCUACAAUAAAACGCCUGAAAAUUGCAGUCAUUUUAUAGAAUUAUACAAGGCACAGAACAAUAACAAUAUAUGAGAGUUUCCACAACGCAAUAAGAUUUGUAAUUCUAAAGUAUAACUUAAGAUAAUUAACACGACAUGGCGCAUACAUUAGCAAAAGUUGCAGAAAAUUCAGAGUUAUUAGCCCUUAUGAUUCCCGUAUGGUUAGUGAGUGGCCAGAGGAAGGAGUAUAUUAGGAAACCCAAAAACCAAAAAAAAAGACAAGAUUAGGAGAGAGUAAGAGGAAGAAGAAGAAGAAUUACCAGGAAACGAAGAAUUAAAAACUUCAAAGCUAUGAUUUUUCAUGGCCAGAGUCGGAGCGAGGAGCUGGGUACUUAUAGGCCAGAGGUGCCAGUUUAUUAGCUUCAAUUGAACAUGUUUUUCACGUGG
rnacentral:lncRNA from 1 species